rnacentral:rRNA from 1 species
UCAUUAUUGAAUGAACUUGGUGUGGUUGUUGCUGGCCCUUUUGGGGGCAUGUGCACACCCACCAUCCUCAUCUCUCCACCUGUGCACCUCUUGUAGACCUGGGAUAGAUUUUCCGAGGCAACUCGGUCUGGAGGAAUGCUGCCCUAAGCUUUCUUUGUAUUUCCUGGUCUAUGUUUUUCAUAUACCCGAUAGCAUGUAACAGAAUGUAUCAUUUGGGCGCUUGUGCCCUAUAAACCUUAUACAACUUUCAGCAACGGAUCUCUUGGCUCUCGCAUCGAUGAAGAACGCAGCGAAAUGCGAUAAGUAAUGUGAAUUGCAGAAUUCAGUGAAUCAUCGAAUCUUUGAACGCACCUUGCGCUCCUUGGUAUUCCGAGGAGCAUGCCUGUUUGAGUGUCAUUAAAUUCUCAACCUUAUCAGUUUAUUUCUGAUAGUGGCUUGGAUGUGGGGUUGCUGGCUUGGUCAGCUCCCCUUAAAUGCAUUAGCUGGUGCCCUGUGUACUUGGUGUGAUAAUUAUCUACGCCAUGGAUUAGCACUGCUUCUAACCGUCUGUUAAUUCGGACAAUAGAUGACAAUUUGACCUCAAAUCAGGUAGGACUACCCGCUGAACUUAAGCAUAUCAAUAAGCGGAGGAAAAGAAACUAACAAGGAUUCCCCUAGUAACUGCGAGUGAAGCGGGAAAAGCUCAAAUUUAAAAUCUGGCAGUCUCUGGCUGUCCGAGUUGUAAUCU